rnacentral:ncRNA from 1 species
UAAAAAGUAAAUAGAAUAAGUGAUGCUUUUAAAAAAGUAGAGAGGGAAGCUGGUGAAAGUCCAGCACGGUCGCGCCACUGUAAGGGAGAGUCGAGUUGUAAAAUAUCGUCACUGGAGGAUGCUAUCUGGGAAGACACAACUAUGACAAUGAUCCUGAGUCAGGAAACCUGCUUGUUCUAUAUUGAUGAA